GUAGGAGGCAAGCGUUAUCCGGAAUGACUGGGCGUAAAGGGUGCGUAGGUGGUUUGCAAGUUAGUAGCGUAACCCCGGGGCUCAACCUCGGAACUACUACUAAAACUGUCGGACUUGAGUGCAGGAGGGGCAAUUGGAAUUCCUAGUGUAGCGGUGGAAUGCGUAGAUAUUAGGAGGAACACCAGUGGCGAAGGCGAAUUGCUGGACUGUAACUGACACUGAGGCACGAAAGCGUGGGGAGCAAAC
rnacentral:rRNA from 1 species